CCUACGGGUGGCAGCAGUGAGGAAUAUUGGUCAAUGGGCGCGAGCCUGAACCAGCCAAGUAGCGUGAAGGAUGACUGCCCUACGGGUUGUAAACUUCUUUUAUAAAGGAAUAAAGUGAGGCACGUGUGCCUUCUUGUAGGUACUUGAUGAAUAAGGAUCGGCUAACUCCGUGCCAGCAGCCGCGGUAAUACGGAGGAUCCGAGCGUUAUCCGGAUUUAUUGGGUUUAAAGGGAGCGUAGAUGGGUUGUUAAGUCAGUUGUGAAAGGUUGCGGCUCAAACGUAAAAUUGCAAUUGAUACUGGCAGUCUUGAGUACAGUUGAGGUAGGCGGAAUUCGUGGUGUAGCGGUGAAAUGCUUAGAUAUCACGCAGAACUCCGAUUGCGAAGGCAGCUUACUAAACUGCCACUGACAUUGCUGCUCGAACGUGUGGGUAUCAAACAGGAUUAGAUACCCGGGUAGUC
rnacentral:rRNA from 1 species